rfam:Gossypium raimondii chromosome 11, whole genome shotgun sequence.
AAUCCCAUGGUGAGGACACUUACGAAUUAAUUCUUUGAAUAUUUCUCACACCUCAUAUAAGGACUCAUCAUCCAAUUGUUGGAAAGUGUGAUCUAAUUUCGUAACU